UACGGAAGGGGCAAGCGUUGUUCGGAAUCAUUGGGCGUAAAGGGCGCGUAGGUGGUUCUGUAUGUCUACCGUGAAAGCGUACGGCUCAACCGUAUUUUGUCGGUGGAAACUGCAGGACUUGAGGCUGGGAGGGGCUGGUGGAAUUCCCUGUGUAGCGGUGAAAUGCGUAGAUAUCUGGAGGAACACCGGUGGCGAAGGCGGCAUCCUGGACCGGUAUUGACGCUGAGGCGCGAAAGCUAGGGGAGCAAACGGG
rnacentral:rRNA from 1 species